rnacentral:lncRNA from 1 species
AGAGAGAGAGAGAGAGAGAGAGAGAGAGAGAUAAAGGUUGAAGAGAGUGUGUCAACACCACCCAAAAAGGAGGUCGUUGAAGAGGUUGAGAAGGAAGCACCUUAUGUUGCUCCUCCUCCCUACAAACCUAUUGUUCCUUUCCUAUAAAUGCUUGUGAAAGCCAAGGCGGAGGCCCAAUUCAAAAAGUUCAUGGAACUUCUCAAAAA